UACGGAGGGUGCGAGCGUUGUCCGGAAUCACUGGGCGUAAAGGGCGCGUAGGCGGCAUGCCAAGCGUGUGGUGAAAGCCCGGGGCUCAACCCCGGGUCGGCCGUGCGGACUGGCAUGCUCGAGCACUGUAGGGGCGGGUGGGAUUCCGGGUGUAGCGGUGGAAUGCGUAGAGAUCCGGAAGAACACCGGUGGCGAAGGCGGCCCGCUGGGCAGGAAGGAAGCGUAAGCUUCCGGCUGACGCUGAGGCGCGACAGCGUGGGGAGCAAACAGG
rnacentral:rRNA from 1 species